AAUAAAUUAAGUUUAAAUAAGCGUGCGCGUGUAAAUAGUCGUGAAAAAGUGACAACACACAGGGGAAGACUACAAGAGUACUACUCGCGAGUAACAGCCCACCCGAGGAACAUAACCUAACUUUCGGGAAGUUCGGAGUUCAUCAGGUUAUGUAGGAAAACAUCAUGGAAUUUCAGCGAAGGUGUCUCCGCUCAUCCAGAUAUCACCAUUCCUUGGGGAUAAACGUACAGAUCACGUGGACAAAAUGUUUCAAAGACCCAAAGUGAAUACCCAGCGGAAAUCUUUAGAAGAAACUUGAAUACUCACCAAAGUAUCCAUGGUAAG